GAUGAUAUUUCUCUGACAGAACCUUUCAGUGGGGAGUCAAAGAGUGCUGUAGAUUCCUGGUUGUCCUCAGAUGAAGAAGAUAAUGUGCCAUGUUCUUCCAAGACAAUCCAGAAGAGUAAUUUGACCAACUUGCUAAAUUCUUCACAGCGAAACAAGA